GUGGGUAGAGGAUUAUUGGGCCUAAAGCAUCCGUAGCCGGUUCUGUAAGUUUCCGGUUAAAUCCACUAGCUCAACUAAUGGGCUGCCGGAAAUACUGCAGAACUAGGGAGUGGGAGGGGUAGACGGUAUUCGGUGGGUAGGGGUAAAAUCCUCUGAUCCAUUGAGGACCACCAGUGGCGAAGGCGGUCUGCCAGAACGCGUUCGACGGUGAGGGAUGAAAGCUGGGGGAGCAAACCGGAUUAGAUACCCGGGUAGUCCCAGCUGUAAACGAUGCAAACUCGGUGAUGCAUUGGCUUAUGGCCAAUGCAGUGCCGCAGGGAAGCCGUUAAGUUUGCCGCCUGGGAAGUACGUACGCAAGUAUGAAACUUAAAGGAAUUGGCGGGGGAGCAC
rnacentral:rRNA from 1 species